GAAGUGAUACACAGACAGGAAGUGAUGUAGGGGGCUAGAAAGGAAUUUCCGGGUGAGAGGUGAGUUGAGAAGGAGUAAAGACGUUAGAGUUGGCAGCAGAGGAGUGCCUUCACUUAAUUUCCUGAAACCCAAGAGAAUAAAUGACAAGAAGAUUCUAGAAGUCACACAGAAGAUCAUCGAUCUGCUGACAGGAGAGGUUCCUAUAAGGUGUCAGGAUGUCGCUGU